rnacentral:rRNA from 1 species
UACGGGGGGUGCGAGCGUUGUCCGGAAUCACUGGGCGUAAAGGGCGCGUAGGUGGUCUGAUAAGGGUGUGGUGAAAGCCCGGGGCUCAACCACAGAAUUGCCUUCGAUACUGUUAGGCUUGAGACCGGAAGAGGUAAGUGGAACUGCGAGUGUAGAGGUGAAAUUCGUAGAUAUUCGCAAGAACGCCAGUGGCGAAGGCGGCUUACUGGUCCGGUUCUGACGCUGAGGCGCGAAAGCGUGGGGAGCAAACAGG